GCCGAGGUCGCAUAACCCGGUAGUGCACUGGUCUCGAAAACCAGCGGGAGAAAUCCCAUCAGGGUUCAAAUCCCUGCCUCGGCG
rnacentral:tRNA from 1 species